rnacentral:lncRNA from 1 species
UUCCUCUUUUACCAGCCUACCAGUAUCCAUGGAGAUCCAUAGGGGUCCUCGCUACACGUGAACCAUUUACCUUAAUAACUUAACUCUAGGGCCGUCCCCAUACCCCGUCUGGUAUGGGCGCCAAAACUAUAAACCUCAAUACCUCGUCCGAUAUGAGGGUGAAGUGGGCCAUCCCCAUACCCCAUCCGGUAUGAGCGCCAAAACAUUUAAAGUCUCCAUACCUCGUCUGGUAUGAAAGACAACGUUCUCGGUAAGUUUCCCUAUGGACUCGGUCCCAUCCACCAUCUCCCUGAAUAUCUAGUGAGGUUGUCGAUUUAUCCAUUUAUCAAUUCACAUUCCUUUUAUAUUCUUUUCUUAGUUUUCUGUUUCUCACAUAAUCAUGAAUAUUUAAACCAGUAACGAGCAUCAAAUAAUGCAGGCAUA